AACUGAUACUACCUGCGGGAACCUGCGGAGGGAUCAUUAUCGAGUUUUGAAAGGGGUUGUAGCUGGCCUUCCGGGGCAAUGUGCACGCCCUGCUCAAUCCACUCUCUACACCUGUGCACUUACUGUGGGUCCUCUGGGGCGCUGAGCGGGCCUUUCUUAGCCUCGUGAAGCCCCCCUCCGGGCCUGCGUUUUUAUUAUAAACUCCAAAGUAAUCAGAAUGUGCAAUGCGAUGUAACGCAU
rnacentral:misc_RNA from 1 species